AUGGCGAGCACAGCAUGCUUUGUGAUUGUCAGUAAGAAUGAUAUCCCAAUCUAUGAUGCUGAAGUUGGAUCCGCUCCAAAAAAAGAAGAUCAGGCUUAUCAGCAUCAGUUCAUUUUGCAUGCUGCAUUAGAUGUUGUUCAGGACCUUGCAUGGGCCACAAGUGCAAUGUUUCUGAAGUCAGUAGAUAGAUUCAAUGAUCUUGUGGUGUCUGUUUAUGUAACUGCUGGUCAUACUAGAUUUAUGUUGCUUCAUGACUCACGGAGUGAAGAUUGUAUAAAAAGCUUCUUUCAGGAAGUUCACGAACUUUACAUCAAGAUAUUCCUUAAUCCACUCUACUUACCUGGUUCUCGUAUCACAUCCUCCCAUUUCAACACCAAGGUCAGGGCUCUUGCAAGGAAAUACCUGUAG
rnacentral:rRNA from 1 species